GGGUUGUGAGGUUAAGCGACUAAGCGUACACGGUGGAUGCCCUGGCAGUCAGAGGCGAUGAAGGACGUGCUAAUCUGCGAUAAGCGUCGGUGAGGUGAUAUGAACCGUUAUAACCGGCGAUUUCCGAAUGGGGAAACCCAGUGUGUUUCGACACACUAUCAUUAACUGAAUCCAUAGGUUAAUGAGGCGAACCGGGGGAACUGAAACAUCUAAGUACCCCGAGGAAAAGAAAUCAACCGAGAUUCCCCCAGUAGCGGCGAGCGAACGGGGAGGAGCCCAGAGCCUGAAUCAGUGUGUGUGUUAGUGGAAGCGUCUGGAAAGGCGCGCGAUACAGGGUGACAGCCCCGUACACAAAAAUGCACAUAUUGUGAGCUCGAUGAGUAGGGCGGGACACGUGGCAUCCUGUCUGAAUAUGGGGGGACCAUCCUCCAAGGCUAAAUACUCCUGACUGACCGAUAGUGAACCAGUACCGUGAGGGAAAGGCGAAAAGAACCCCGGCGAGGGGAGUGAAAAAGAACCUGAAACCGUGUACGUACAAGCAGUGGGAGCCUCUUAAUGGGGUGACUGCGUACCUUUUGUAUAAUGGGUCAGCGACUUAUAUUCUGUAGCAAGGUUAACCGAAUAGGGGAGCCGAAGGGAAACCGAGUCUUAACUGGGCGUUAAGUUGCAGGGUAUAGACCCGAAACCCGGUGAUCUAGCCAUGGGCAGGUUGAAGGUUGGGUAACACUAACUGGAGGACCGAACCGACUAAUGUUGAAAAAUUAGCGGAUGACUUGUGGCUGGGGGUGAAAGGCCAAUCAAACCGGGAGAUAGCUGGUUCUCCCCGAAAGCUAUUUAGGUAGCGCCUCGUGAAUUCAUCUCCGGGGGUAGAGCACUGUUUCGGCAAGGGGGUCAUCCCGACUUACCAACCCGAUGCAAACUGCGAAUACCGGAGAAUGUUAUCACGGGAGACACACGGCGGGUGCUAACGUCCGUCGUGAAGAGGGAAACAACCCAGACCGCCAGCUAAGGUCCCAAAGUCAUGGUUAAGUGGGAAACGAUGUGGGAAGGCCCAGACAGCCAGGAUGUUGGCUUAGAAGCAGCCAUCAUUUAAAGAAAGCGUAAUAGCUCACUGGUCGAGUCGGCCUGCGCGGAAGAUGUAACGGGGCUAAACCAUGCACCGAAGCUGCGGCAGCGACACUAUGUGUUGUUGGGUAGGGGAGCGUUCUGUAAGCCUGUGAAGGUGUGCUGUGAGGCAUGCUGGAGGUAUCAGAAGUGCGAAUGCUGACAUAAGUAACGAUAAAGCGGGUGAAAAGCCCGCUCGCCGGAAGACCAAGGGUUCCUGUCCAACGUUAAUCGGGGCAGGGUGAGUCGACCCCUAAGGCGAGGCCGAAAGGCGUAGUCGAUGGGAAACAGGUUAAUAUUCCUGUACUUGGUGUUACUGCGAAGGGGGGACGGAGAAGGCUAUGUUGGCCGGGCGACGGUUGUCCCGGUUUAAGCGUGUAGGCUGGUUUUCCAGGCAAAUCCGGAAAACCAAGGCUGAGGCGUGAUGACGAGGCACUACGGUGCUGAAGCGACAAAUGCCCUGCUUCCAGGAAAAGCCUCUAAGCAUCAGGUAACAUCAAAUCGUACCCCAAACCGACACAGGUGGUCAGGUAGAGAAUACCAAGGCGCUUGAGAGAACUCGGGUGAAGGAACUAGGCAAAAUGGUGCCGUAACUUCGGGAGAAGGCACGCUGAUAUGUAGGUGAAGCGACUUGCUCGUGGAGCUGAAAUCAGUCGAAGAUACCAGCUGGCUGCAACUGUUUAUUAAAAACACAGCACUGUGCAAACACGAAAGUGGACGUAUACGGUGUGACGCCUGCCCGGUGCCGGAAGGUUAAUUGAUGGGGUUAGCGGUAACGCGAAGCUCUUGAUCGAAGCCCCGGUAAACGGCGGCCGUAACUAUAACGGUCCUAAGGUAGCGAAAUUCCUUGUCGGGUAAGUUCCGACCUGCACGAAUGGCGUAAUGAUGGCCAGGCUGUCUCCACCCGAGACUCAGUGAAAUUGAACUCGCUGUGAAGAUGCAGUGUACCCGCGGCAAGACGGAAAGACCCCGUGAACCUUUACUAUAGCUUGACACUGAACAUUGAGCCUUGAUGUGUAGGAUAGGUGGGAGGCUUUGAAGUGUGGACGCCAGUCUGCAUGGAGCCGACCUUGAAAUACCACCCUUUAAUGUUUGAUGUUCUAACGUUGGCCCGUAAUCCGGGUUGCGGACAGUGUCUGGUGGGUAGUUUGACUGGGGCGGUCUCCUCCUAAAGAGUAACGGAGGAGCACGAAGGUUGGCUAAUCCUGGUCGGACAUCAGGAGGUUAGUGCAAUGGCAUAAGCCAGCUUGACUGCGAGCGUGACGGCGCGAGCAGGUGCGAAAGCAGGUCAUAGUGAUCCGGUGGUUCUGAAUGGAAGGGCCAUCGCUCAACGGAUAAAAGGUACUCCGGGGAUAACAGGCUGAUACCGCCCAAGAGUUCAUAUCGACGGCGGUGUUUGGCACCUCGAUGUCGGCUCAUCACAUCCUGGGGCUGAAGUAGGUCCCAAGGGUAUGGCUGUUCGCCAUUUAAAGUGGUACGCGAGCUGGGUUUAGAACGUCGUGAGACAGUUCGGUCCCUAUCUGCCGUGGGCGCUGGAGAACUGAGGGGGGCUGCUCCUAGUACGAGAGGACCGGAGUGGACGCAUCACUGGUGUUCGGGUUGUCAUGCCAAUGGCACUGCCCGGUAGCUAAAUGCGGAAGAGAUAAGUGCUGAAAGCAUCUAAGCACGAAACUUGCCC
rnacentral:rRNA from 1 species